rnacentral:tRNA from 1 species
AGGGGUGUAGCUCAAUCGGCAGAGCAGCGGUUUCCAAAACCGCAGGUUGCGAGUUCGAGUCCCGCCGCCCCUG